rnacentral:rRNA from 1 species
CCUACGGGGGGCAGCAGUGAGGAAUAUUGGUCAAUGGGCGCGAGCCUGAACCAGCCAAGUCGCGUGAGGGAUGAAGGUUCUAUGGACCGUAAACCUCUUUUAUAAGGGAAUAAAGCGUGGGACGUGUCCUAUUUUGUAUGUACCUUAUGAAUAAGGAUCGGCUAACUCCGUGCCAGCAGCCGCGGUAAUACGGAGGAUCCGAGCGUUAUCCUGCUUUAUUGUGUUUAAAGGGUGCGCAGGCGGCCUUUUAAGUCAGCGGUGAAAGUCUGUGGCUCAUCCA